UACGGAGGAUGCAAGCGUUAUCCGGAAUGAUUGGGCGUAAAGCGUCCGCAGGUGGUACUUCAAGUCUGCUGUCAAAGAGUUUGGCUCAACCAAAUAAAGGCAGUGGAAACUGAAGAACUAGAGUGCGGUAGGGGUAGAGGGAAUUCCCGGUGUAGCGGUGAAAUGCGUAGAGAUCGGGAAGAACACCGGUGGCGAAAGCGCUCUGCUGGGCCUGCACUGACACUGAGGGACGAAAGCUAGGGGAGCGAAUGGG
rnacentral:rRNA from 1 species